UGGGGAAUUUUGGACAAUGGGCGCAAGCCUGAUCCAGCCAUGCCGCGUGCGGGAAGAAGGCCUUCGGGUUGUAAACCGCUUUUGUCAGGGAAGAAAUCUUCUGAGUUAAUACCUCGGGAGGAUGACGGUACCUGAAGAAUAAGCACCGGCUAACUACGUGCCAGCAGCCGCGGUAAUACGUAGGGUGCAAGCGUUAAUCGGAAUUACUGGGCGUAAAGCGUGCGCAGGCGGUUUUGUAAGACAGAGGUGAAAUCCCCGGGCUCAACCUGGGAACUGCCUUUGUGACUGCAAGGCUUGAGUGCGGCAGAGGGGGAUGGAAUUCCGCGUGUAGCAGUGAAAUGCGUAGAUAUGCGGAGGAACACCGAUGGCGAAGGCAAUCCCCUGGGCCUGCACUGACGCUCAUGCACGAAAGCGUGGGGAGCAAACAGGAUUAGAUACCCUGGUAGUCCACGCCCUAAACGAUGUCAACUGGUUGUUGGGAAGGUUCCUUCUCAGUAACGUAGCUAACGCGUGAAGUUGACCGCCUGGGGAGUACGGCCGCAAGGUGAAACUAAGAAUGACGGGUCAUAGCUGUUUCC
rnacentral:rRNA from 1 species